UACGUAGGGGGGCAAGCGUUGUCCGGAUUUAUUGGGCGUAAAGCGCGUGUAGGCGGCCACGCCAGGUCCGCUGUGAAAACUCGAGGCUCAACCUCGAGCUGUCGGUGGAACCGCGUGGCUAGAGUCCGGAAGAGGGGACUGGAAUUCCCGGUGUAGCGGUGGAAUGCGCAGAUAUCGGGAGGAACACCCGUGGCGAAGGCGGGUCCCUGGGACGGUACUGACGCUGAGACGCGAAAGCGUGGGGAGCGAACAGGAUUAGACUACC
rnacentral:rRNA from 1 species